rnacentral:rRNA from 1 species
GAUGAAUGCUGGCGGCGUGCCUAACACAUGCAAGUCGAGCGGCAGCGAGGGGUGCUUGCACCCUGUCGGCGAGCGGCGAACGGCUGAGUAACGCGUAGGAAUUUGCCCCAAAGUGAGGAAUAACUGCCCGAAAGGGUAGCUAAUGCCGCAUAUGGUCUUCGGAUUAAAGGAUUUAUCCGCUUUGGGAGAAGCCUGCGUUGGAUUAGGUUGUUGGUAGGGUAAUGGCCUACCAAGCCGACGAUCCAUAGCUGGUCUGAGAGGAUGAUCAGCCAGACUGGAACUGAGACACGGUCCAGACUCCUACGGGAGGCAGCAGUGAGGAAUCUUCCACAAUGGGCGAAAGCCUGAUGGAGCAACGCCGCGUGAAGGAUGAAGGCCUUCGGGUUGUAAACUUCUUUUAUGAGUGAAGAAUAUGACGGUAAUUCAUGAAUAAGCACCGGCUAACUACGUG